rnacentral:rRNA from 1 species
UACGGAGGGGGCUAGCGUUGUUCGGAAUUACUGGGCGUAAAGCGCACGUAGGCGGCUUUGUAAGUUAGAGGUGAAAGCCUGGAGCUCAACUCCAGAAUUGCCUUUAAGACUGCAUCGCUUGAAUCCAGGAGAGGUGAGUGGAAUUCCGAGUGUAGAGGUGAAAUUCGAUAGAUAUUGGAAGAACACCAGUGGCGAAGGCGGCUCACUGGACUGGUAUUGACGCUGAGGUGCGAAAGCGUGGGGAGCAAACAGG